UUAUUUACAUCAUCCUUGCUUUAUGAAACAAGUUUAUUUUUGUAGUUACUUCUCACAACAAUUUUAUUGUCUUUGUAAGUUUGGUUAGAUUAAGACAGCUUUUACAAGCUUUUUGAGAUGAUUAGAAUGUAGAGAUAUUAUUUAAAACCCGUUUUCGAUGCAUGAUUUAUAAAAGAUAACAUUGCAAUUAAUUUUACGAUGUAAAAUAAAAAUCAUCAAUGUUUUCAAAUAAUGCAAUCAUGUGCUGUUCGAAGUUUUCGCUGGGCAUUGUUUGUUUGACAAGACUCUGUCAUCUAUAGCUGUAUUGAAUUUUGAAACAGUUUAGAUAUUGUAAUUUUCCUUGUAUAUAUAAGUCCUAAAUUAUGCAGAGGAAGACAAAAACAAUAAAAUAAAACAAAUUAAUGAAAUGAGAUUGUUUUAUUUUAUUCAAUACCAUAGGGCUACCUAUUUACUUAUUUCAACUAAUGCAAACAGAAUCAUGAACAACAAGAACAACAAAAUCGAUUGUUGGCUUCGAUUUUUGAAGAGAUUUGUGAAAAUAAAUUAUUUCGUUAAAUGGUACACUUCAAUAUACUUUAACAUGAAAAUCUAAUAUAUUACUACUGUUAAAAGAUGAUAUUUAUAACUUUUGCAGGUGUAAUAUUUGCAUUUUUGGGUUAAUGUUCAUUUCCACUGAGUACCAAAGCAAACAGAAGGCAAUUCAACACCUGCUUCUUAUAUUUUACAUAAUUUAAAAUGAUAAUUGCUCGUAUACUAUCCCUAGUGGACAUAAAGCAUGAAAUAGAGUUUGAUUAAUCACCAUAUUGUUCUGCAAGAGGCAAGAAGUAUUCAAAUAUGCACCAAUAUCAUAUUAUCCGAUUUCAAUCAUUAUAAUUUAACAAUUGAAUCCUCAACAUCAACAAUUUUCGAUGAAAAUUAAAAUUAUGAUUG